GACGAACGCUGGCGGCGUGCUUAACACAUGCAAGUCGAACGGAAAGGCCCUGCUUUUGUGGGGUGCUCGAGUGGCGAACGGGUGAGUAGCACGUGAGUAACCUGCCCUUGACUUUGGGAUGACUUCAGGAAACUGGGGCUAAUACCGGAUAGGAGCUCCUGCUGCAUGGUGGGGGUUGGAAAGUUUCGGCGGUUGGGGAUGGACUCGCGGCUUAUCAGCUUGUUGGUGGGGUAGUGGCUUACCAAGGCUUUGACGGGUAGCCGGCCUGAGAGGGUGACCGGCCACAUUGGGACUGAGAUACGGCCCAGACUCCUACGGGAGGCAGCAGUGGGGAAUAUUGCACAAUGGGCGGAAGCCUGAUGCAGCAACGCCGCGUGCGGGAUGACGGCCUUCGGGUUGUAAACCGCUUUCGCCUGUGACGAAGCGUGAGUGACGGUAAUGGGUAAAGAAGCACCGGCUAACUACGUG
rnacentral:rRNA from 1 species